GUGCUCGCUUUGGCAGCACAUAUACUAAAAUUGGAACUAUACAGAGAAGAUUAGCAUGGCCCCUGUGCAAGGAUGACAUGCAAAUUCGUGAAACAUUCCAUAUUUUU
ensembl:snRNA U6 U6 spliceosomal RNA